UCUUGGACAAAGUAAUAUUAACUGGAGACACAGACAUUCCAAGAAGCCAAGUGAAACAUCUUAAAUCAGCAUUAAGGUCGGUCCUGGUGGCAGAGGGAAAGACUUUCCAGGCCCUAGAAGGAAGCAGCAGUGGGAGUACGAGUGACUGAGACACAAAGCUGGCCGCGACUUCUUGGUCUUUCUUGUGAAGCAUCUCAUAACCUCCACUGUAAUGACUGAUGCCAGAUCCCACCAGACUCUCCUCAGCUUCCUUAAAAACUCUUCAUCUCGUC